GUAAUGUCUGGGNAUCUGCCUGAUGGAGGGGGAUAACUACUGGAAACGGUAGCUAAUACCGCAUGACGUCGCAAGACCAAAGUGGGGGACCUUCGGGCCUCACGCCAUCGGAUGAACCCAGAUGGGAUUAGCUGGUAGGUGGGGUAACGGCUCACCUAGGCGACGAUCCCUAGCUGGUCUGAGAGGAUGACCAGCCACACUGGAACUGAGACACGGUCCAGACUCCUACGGGAGGCAGCAGUGGGGAAUAUUGCACAAUGGGGGAAACCCUGAUGCAGCCAUGCCGCGUGUGUGAAGAAGGCCUUCGGGUUGUAAAGCACUUUCAGCGGGGAGGAAGGGAGCAGGGUUAAUAACCUUGUUCAUUGACGUUACCCGCAGAAGAAGCACCGGCUAACUCCGUGCCAGCAGCCGCGGUAAUACGGAGGGUGCAAGCGUUAAUCGGAAUGACUGGGCGUAAAGCGCACGCAGGCGGUCUGUUAAGUUGGAUGUGAAAUCCCCGGGCUUAACCUGGGAACUGCAUUCAAAACUGACAGGCUAGAGUCUCGUAGAGGGGGGUAGAAUUCCAGGUGUAGCGGUGAAAUGCGUAGAGAUCUGGAGGAAUACCGGUGGCGAAGGCGGCCCCCUGGACGAAGACUGACGCUCAGGUGCGAAAGCGUGGGGAGCAAACAGGAUUAGAUACCCCUGGUAGUCC
rnacentral:rRNA from 1 species